rnacentral:lncRNA from 1 species
UUUGAAUACCUUCUCUUAUGAAAAGUCAAACAGCACCGUAGAUGCCCACAAAUGCUGUAAGGACAGUGGAUUUAUAUCCUAUCAGAAAAUGGAAUUAAAAAAUAUCUGAGGAGGGCUGCAAUACCCUGUGCUGAAUGGAGUGAUCAGCAACAAAAAAGCCCAGAGGUCUGACCAAUACUUUACAUCUUGUACCAAAGCCAGAGAACUACAGCAUAACUCUUCUGUGUUCUGGUAAUGGAGUCCUGAGGACUUGGCUGGUGGUCUCUGCAAUCCUGUAACUGAGCUUUGGGCUGCACUGCAUUGCUCACUGGACCAAUCCACCACUUCAUGCUUAUCUAUGAUCUGGGGUUACUGGCAGUGGCCACAUCCUGAUUGCUGGUAUUUUGAUGGCUGCACCUCCAAAGAGAGAAAGUGUGGAGGUUACCUGUGUCAGGGCCACGAGGCUGGAAGGAGCAAACCCUUAUCCACAGAGAGCUGACUUCUGGGCGCUGAAUGGAGUCCCUUAUCUUUCAACUUCUGGGAAAAGUGAUAGUUCUUAAACUUGUCAACAGACACAAAAAGAAAGAUGAACGAGAAGGGAGUUUUUAAUAUCUGAAAAUUGAAGAACAUUAAGAAACAACAGUCCAGAGCUGUUCCACCUGAAGGUGGUGAAGCACUACAAAAUGUAGCAUGGAAACGCUGAAGUAGAGAGUGAAGAGACUGUGGACCACCUUGUUCCUUCAGGAGUUAUUUAAACCUUCCUAUGAACACUUCACUGUCCAGCGUAGAUUUAAAAAAAAAUGCUGUUAGCUCACAGAAUACAAGAAAAGCUGCCUAAUCUAUCACAAUAAGACAGUUAAUCACCUUUGACAACGUAUGUUUAUAACUGAAAUGAAACAUUCACUACUUAGAAGCAUUUGACACUGCUAUAUUGCGCUGCUAUUAGCACUGUUAUUUGAGUCCAUGUAUAGACAGACAUUUCUUAAAGAUUCAAAAAUCAUCAGAUCAGCAGAAACUUCAAACCCACUUAAAAUGCAGUGAGUUUAGGAUGUUUUUGACAGAACAAAAUGGAAUCUUUAUAAGCCAUGAAUUAAAAAUCCUGUGCAAGAUGAAUGGGUUCAUGUAGCAUAGAAGUCAGCACCUGAGACCAAGCAGAGUACGUUGAUAUUGUUUUCCAAAAGCUUAAUAAGUUUGUAUCGAGUUUAGAACAGAUCAAUCAGUUUAGCUAGUUUCUUUUUCUGCUGAUUUUACUGCAAUCAGAGCUGAAACCCAGAACUUGCAAAACUGAGAUCUUUGUUUAGUACAAGAAUCUAGCAGCUGCUGGGAGGGAUUACAGCUACUCUGGUUCUCUUCACUUGCUUAGCUGAGGCUUAAUCUUAACUAGGAAUUUAAUUGGGUUUUCUGUAUUUCUAAAGAAAUGCACUAAAAGCUAAGAUACAUAGUCAAAUAUUCCUUUUCUGUGUGGUUAAGCUGCUGAAUUUUGAAUUAUUUUCUGUUCAGAUGCAUAGCUUUAUAGGAUGCCACUACAUAUAUAUAUAUAUAUAUAUAUAUAUAUAUAUA